UUUUUAUAUUUUCCUUAGGUAUCGAUAAAAUUGGUAGAACAAUGUCAUUUCCAAACUAUUGCCUCAAUUUUAUUUUCAUCUGUCCCAACUCUUUUGCCUAAAUCAAUACAGCUAAUUCAAAAAGUAUUGGUUGACACAUUUUUUUUUAAAUUGUGUAAUAAUUUACGAUCAUUUUUGCCGAAAGCUCUGACGAGGCUUGUGAUGACUGAAUGAAUUGAACUGAAGUUUCGAUGGUUUAUUUAAAAUCACAUUGACACAAAACCAUGCAAAAGGUUAUAGCGGAUUUCAAAACUUUUUUUGUAUCAAGCCUAAUAGAAGAUGUGCUUCCUUUUUUGGAUGCUGAAGGCGAUCCGCCUCAGGAGGAAGAUGAAGACUUACAUGAGGUACAAAUCCAUCGCCUACGAAGAAUCUUCUGGUGUCCAAACUUUGAAACCGACCUGUUCGGAAAAGUUCCAUUUUUGGUGGUUGAGAACCUGUCCAAGCUGUAUCGGCGGGAGCAGAGGUGCCAAGUACGGUACGGAAAUGUCCAAAUGCGAGAAAUUUUACGUCAAGCUGUUUGAAGAAGGCACUUUGGAAAACUAUUUGCUGAAGAGUGCUGUCGGAUUCAUCAGCGGAGUGUGUCUCACGUAUCUCUUGUUUGUAUUUUUCAUCCUUCAGCUCAAUUUCUCGUUUGCAUCGGCAACGGUGAUAUGCUCGAUUUUCGGGAUCAUGCUCAGUUUGGGGCUCGCGUUUUCCAGGAGGUUCAGAUGCAUUGUGUUGAUGGUGUUUCCACAGCUUUUCAGCAAAAAAGGAAGACAGGCGCUCAUCGCGUAUGCCUUUAUACUCGUUCUUACGGGUCCGGCUAGAAACGCUUUGCACAACGCCAGGGUGCUGUCGGAAAGCAUGGUCUGCGAACAGGAAAAACUGAAAAGAGGGAUUCGAUCAAUGUUGGAUAUGGUGAAGAAACCGUUCAUUGCCAUUAAACAUUCAAUCGAACAAAUAAUGGCUAAAAUCAAAGGAACUUUUAAAAAGAUUAAAUAUCUUGUUUCAACUGUGACAAGAACAAUAUUGGAUUUAUUGGGUGUCAUUAAAUCGGCGUUCGAUUGGCUCAACAGCGUGGCUGGGGUUUGUAACAAAAAAAUUGGAACACCCUAUGCGCGAUGUGUUGCAGCUUUGGAAAGCGCAGUGCUCGACUGCAAGGACAAACUGCCUCCUUCACUGCACUGGAUGUGCUCGAUCACAUACGUCUCCAACUUGGUUUGCUAUUCAGUGAAAUUCAUCGAUUACGUAUGCGUAGGUUUUGAAUUUAUUAGUGACGAUCUUGUGCAAAUGACUAAAAGAAGACUGAAAGAGUUUUCUCAUCACAUCAAGAAUAUAUUUUACGUGUCAGUCGAAUUCAAGCACAAACUUGAAUAUGAAGAAACACCCUCGAAAAAUGCCAGUGACAUUGCCGCAGGAAUCGCUGGAGAAAUAAGAGCACGUACUAGUGCAAUUUUAGCACUUUUCGACUGGAUGAGUUUUGCAUUUAGCUUCUUUUUUCUCUAUACAAUAUUUCAGACACUUAAAUAUAGAAGAGAUUUUUUGCUGAAAGAUUGGUAUGAUAAUCGUUUCAUAACGGACAAUUUUAUUCAAAUUGAUCUGAAAAGGACUUACAUGGGAAAGGAAUCACUUUUACCUUUGACCCUUCAUGAAAAGAGAAAAUAUAUAAGAAUAAACUCACUCUGUCUGGUUCAAAGCGAAAAACAACAAUUGAUCAAAACUGCUAUUUAUCUUACAUUGGCGACAAUCAAACUGUCCAUUCACAUGCUGGCUGACUACAGUUUGUUCUGGAUAUUGUCCAUGAUCCGAUACCAUGGACAGUUUCAAACAGAUUUUGACGCUACGCCAGAAGUAGAGAUAAAAGUAAACGGCAAAGGAAUUCUGGCUGAUAUUUAUUUGAGUAUUGUAAAAGCGUUUCAACCUGAAAACCUCAGCAUCGAACGUGACACUACAUCAUGCCUGCCUGAUCCGAAACCACCCGAUAUGGCCAUUUAUAGGCAAAUUGUAUCACUGAUAGUACUCUGUUGGCUACUGUCGAUAUUGGAAGCUUAUGGACUCCGUUUGAGAAAUUGGAUUAUGUGCUAUUACUACCCAGAUGUUGCUCGUAAGAGAUCUGUCUGGUUGUACAAUCAUAUUAAUUCACGUAGGAGCACUUUCGUCAAGUAUACAAGGAGGCAAUUGAGAAAAAAGUACGGUCUGGAUUACAAAGGCGAUCAGAUGCUAUUUAUGGAUCAGUUGAGAUACAGGUGUCCAAUAAUAGCCAAAUUGUGCGGCUUGAAACAACCCAAGGCGUGUGUCGUCUGUGGAUCGGUGAGCAAGACGAGCGUCGAACCGUUGAUACAAUGCGAAACGCCGAAUUGUGUCGGCGUGUACUGUACACAAUGCUACACCGAAUUGAAAAAAGUCUGCACCAUCUGUCAGUCGCCGAUUAAUUACGGCGACAUUUCAGACAUGAGUGAAGAAAUGGACUCGAGCGAUGUGGACAAUGGAGAGGAAUUUCCACUGAAAAGAUUGAAGCAUGAAAAAAUCAGAUUCAAUUAUGAAACAUCAGAUUCAGACGGUGGGAGAACAGAUAUUACUACUGAAUUUUACAGGACCUACUUCUGAUGAUGAAUUGGAUUAUUCAUAUCAGAAAAAAAAGCGUACCCUUGGUUACAAGCCAUUUUCAAGAUCUUUCGAAGUUGAAGAAAAGGCUGAACCUUCUAAAAUCAGAGUCAAUGAUGUUUUUACUCAGAACGAAGCUGCUAAAAGAAAGCAAGAUAAAGUGUCUACUUCGAAAAGUUUGUUCCAUAAAAAAAUGUCUGGCGUAUUGGAAAUAUUCCCUAGACUAAAAAUUUUAAAACGCCUUAUACCGAGUAAGAACGAUGACCAGAGAACCAGUGAUAAUAAUGAGGAAUGCAUUGAAAAAAGGGUCGAACAUAAAACUGGGAUUGAUAUUAAACAGAUCAAUGAAAAAAGGCAAACUGCCACAAAAG
rnacentral:misc_RNA from 1 species